UGGUCUAGUGGUUAGGAUGCAGCACUCUCACUGCUGCGGCCUGGGUUCGAUUCCCGG
rnacentral:tRNA from 1 species